rnacentral:lncRNA from 1 species
AAAAAAAAGAAGCCGAGCCCAGUGUGUGUUCAUUCUUUGAUGAACUAAUGAGAAAAUGAUCGGAAAUGGUGCUACGGAACUGAUACGGUUAUGAUUGCACAGAUGCUAACGGCACCAUCGAUAUUUGAACCAGGGGCCAGCCCUUCAAUUGGCACCUGACAUGUGUGACACUGGACAGCCCCACCCCAAUGCAGCAGAACUCCAUCCUCCACAAACAGCCAGACAUUCACCCCUCCUUAUCCGAGCCUGCAACCUUGCUGACAUGUCCAGAACUCACCGGACAUCUGGGAAACUGAAGUUCAGAGAGGGUGGGGAUCUUCCUCAGGCUGAAAGGGAGCUAGCACACAACGCUGGGUAGGAUUCAUUCUUGCCAGGCAACUGGUUCUUGUCAUGUCUAACACGUUCUGGGCCCUGAGGAGUCAGAAGGGCUCCAUGCACAGAGUUAUGCCAGUGGUCAGCUUCAGGUGGCCUCCAGCAAGAAAUUCUGGGAAGUUUGCUGGGGUCAGGAUCUGGGUCCCUGGAGUUUGAAGCCAGCCUGUCCAUUUCUCUGCCAUACAGCCUCAGCCCCAGGAGAAGCCAUGUCCUCUCGACUUCUGACUUCAGCUACAGAGCAUGGAAGGAGCCAGCCCCUGGGGAGUAGCUCUGAAGACUGUUUGCAAGAUGAAAACUUGGGCGGGUGAUAUGGCUCAGUAGGUAAAGGAGCUUGCCACCAAGCCCAACAACCUGAGUUCAAUUCUUGAGACCCGAGUGAUGAAAGAAGAGAACAGUUCUCCCAAGUUGUCCUCUGAUCUCUGUGUCCACACAUGGCCACUUGCACACACCUGCCCACAUGCAUGCAUGUUCACAAAACAAAUUAAAAUGUGAUUAAAAAAAUAAAAGCAAAUCCGUACAC